AAAAAAGAAGAUGUGGUAUGAUUGCCAAUGAGACAACUAUCCACAAAAGACCAAAAUGAAAUAGACCUUAACAACUAUAAGUCACCGUACUGCUUUCAACAAUGAGCAAAGCCCAUACCGCAUAGUCAGCUAUAAAAGGCCCCGAUAAGACAAUGUAAAACAAUUCAACCGAGAAAACUAACGGCCUUAUGUAUGUAAAAAAAAUGAAUGAAAAACAAAUAUGUAACACAUAAACAAACGACAACCACUGAAUUACAGGCUCC
rnacentral:lncRNA from 1 species